CUUUAAAGGGAGUGUACUAGAGGGGAGUCUGCAGAUAUCUUCACACUUGCUCACCGAUUCCUCUGUUUGUCUGGUUAAUUAUCCACACAUCUGCUGCUGGGGGAAGUAAGCUAAGGAUGUUUUUGAAACAGGACUGCAGAGGAGUCCUUGGUCUUUCCGGUCCUCAAAGGAGAUCUGUUGUAUUUGUUCUUGGAAGAGACUACUACAAUACAGACCGCAACAAAGAAGUCUUCCCUACAUCCCAGACUGGGGGAGAAUACACCAGAGCUCAAGAUUACAUCACAAACAUCUCUACACUCAAGACUGAGAGAAACGACACAGAAGAUGAUAUUAACGUCACCCAUUCUUUCAAGAAUGAGAUGGUGAAGUAUAGUGAUGUCAUACCAACAUCUCAGUCCAAUGGAAACCAUACUCAAGAUGGGGGCAAGGACUUUGAUGACCAAGGCUCCAUUGCCUCCGAUAUGACCCAAACUGAGAACUAUAAUAUCACCACAGAGCCUACCACUACAGCUACUGCAAGAUCCACAAUGGGAGGCAUGACUGUAAAUGCUGCUUUAACCAGAAAGAAGAUGAGGUCUUGUAAAAUAUUUAGCUGUAUCGGCAUAACAUGCUACAAACAUGUGAAGGUCAUGGAGGAGUUGUGUGAGGAGGGUAUGGACUUCUGUGAGCUCAAGAAAGCCUCAAGCCAGGUCACCUGGAAUACAUACGUGGCGGUGUGGAGUGCUGGAUGCGCCAGAGACUGCAGACAGAGCACUAAGUGUGGUCCCUUCAGCUCGUACCAAUGCCACAAUGAGUGUUGUGUGGCUGGGUCUGUCUCCUGUCUCAGACUGGAUGGUUCUCUCAACAUGCCUGUCAACUCUGCCUGCUGUGGCCUGGGGAGUCUCUCCCUCCUGGCUCUGAGUGUAACCUCUCUACUGGACAAUCUACUCAACACUUGCUAAUUUACUAACCUUCAUGUGACAUUAGACUCACUUUAGAAUGCAGAGAGUUUAGUAUGGAUCGACUAAAUGCAUAUUUCAGUUUUGUCAUAUCCACUGCUUGGGCGUCAUUAGUUCUUUCAUGUUUUCUUCAUCUGUGAAUGCAAGCUCUUGUGAAAAUAAAACUGUUUUCCAGCUUUAUGUUGUUCUUAAAUAACACAUCCCAACCUCUAGUGGAUCCAGUCAUGGGUUUGAG
rnacentral:lncRNA from 1 species